GAUGAACGCUGGCGGCGUGCCUAAUACAUGCAAGUCGAGCGAAUGGAUUAAGAGCUUGCUCUUAUGAAGUUAGCGGCGGACGGGUGAGUAACACGUGGGUAACCUGCCCAUAAGACUGGGAAAACUCCGGGAAACCGGGGCUAAUACCGGAUAACAUUUUGAACCGCAUGGUUCGAAAUUGAAAGGCGGCUUCGGCUGUCACUUAUGGAUGGACCCGCGUCGCAUUAGCUAGUUGGUGAGGUAACGGCUCACCAAGGCAACGAUGCGUAGCCGACCUGAGAGGGUGAUCGGCCACACUGGGUCUGAGACACGGCCCAGACUCCUACGGGAGGCAGCAGUAGGGAAUCUUCCGCAAUGGACGAAAGUCUGACGGAGCAACGCCGCGUGAGUGAUGAAGGCUUUCGGGUCGUAAAACUCUGUUGUUAGGGAAGAACAAGUGCUAGUUGAAUAAGCUGGCACCUUGACGGUACCUAACCAGAAAGCCACGGCUAACUACGUGCCAGCAGCCGCGGUAA
rnacentral:rRNA from 1 species